rnacentral:rRNA from 1 species
UACAGAGGUCUCAAGCGUUGUUCGGAUUCAUUGGGCGUAAAGGGCGCGUAGGCGGCGGGGUAAGUCGGGUGUGAAAUCUCAGAGCUCAACUCUGAAACUGCACUCGAUACUGCUCUGCUUGAGGACUGGAGAGGAGACUGGAAUUCACGGUGUAGCAGUGAAAUGCGUAGAUAUCGUGAGGAAGACCAGUGGCGAAGGCGGGUCUCUGGACAGUUCCUGACGCUGAGGCGCGAAGGCCAGGGGAGCCAAAGCA